GCGUUCAAUACAGUUUGAUGAACUUUGGCGUUUGUCUCGAAAACACAUGAAAGUAAAUAAAUGAAAUAAAAUUAUUUGUUGUUAAUGUAAAUAUGUGAUUUGUAUCAUUGACGUGUAUAUAAAAGCAACGGCGUCAAAUGUUAUGUUGCCGUCGUUAAUUUGCAGUGGCCUUGGGAACGCCACUAAAUUCAAGUUCCGGGAAAAUCGAAAAAUUAUCUUUUCGAAAUUCAAAAGCAGCAAAAAGGCUAUUCCUUCUUUAUUUCAAAAUAAAUAAAUCCACAAUGUGAGCAGUAAGCCCCAAAUAGUUCGUUAUAGACCCCAUGAAAUGAGUUGAAGAUAAUCCCCUUAAAAUGUACCUAAUCGAAUUGUGGGUUUGUAGACUAAAUGACCAUAAGAAAAAUGGCCUGAUAUACAUAUACCUUUAACGUAGUCCAUAAUAGAAAGACAGGAUAGCAUUGUUUCAAAAUUCCAUGGUAGGAAACAUGGUAGAAGAAUACAUGUAGUCGCAUUGACACAACUGGUGGGACAAUGAACUGUCAAACCAAUCUUGGAAUUGAAAAUUUGGAAUGAAAAAUGAAAGGAAAUAUAUAAAAAUCUAUUUAUUUUUGAAAAUAUAUUUUACAUUUUUUGACAUUUCAA